CUUAUACAACAGAAUCAACAUCAACAGAGACAGAACCAAGCACAACAACUGCCACUCCAUCGACUACGUCCGCCACCAGCAGCAAAACAACAGAUUCAACAAUAUCUACAUCCACAGAAGAGAGCACAUCCACAGACCAAAGUACAAUGAUGACCUCU